rnacentral:rRNA from 1 species
UACGCAGGGGGCUAGCGUUGUUCGGAAUUACUGGGUGUAAAGGGCGCGCAGGCGGGACGAAAAGUCGGUGGUGAAAGCCUCGAGCUCAACCGUGGAACUGCCUUUGAUACUGUUAGUCUUGAGUUCGGGAGAGGGAGGCGGAAUUCCAGGUGUAGUGGUGAAAUUCGUAGAUAUUUGGAAGAACACAAGUUGCGAAGGCGGUCUCUUGGUCCGAUACUGACGCUGAGGCGCGAAAGCGUGGGGAGCAAACAGG